AUAUGUUUUGGGAAUGAAGUUCUCCCAUUGAUACAUUCCUUGUAUCACAAACCGCUGGUUAAGGCUGAUGACUUCUGCGAAUUU
rfam:Clostridiales bacterium KLE1615 genomic scaffold Scaffold133, whole genome shotgun sequence.